GAAGACCCAAGAACAUCUGUGUUUACAGUAAGAGAUUCGACUGCCCCUCGGAGUCUGGCGCCUUGGGGGACCAGGCCGAGUGCCGCUACAGUGACCUGGUGGAUGACUGUGAGUGGCAAUGCUAGUCAAGAGCUGGGUCGACCGGAGAGGUUUCAGAUCGUUUCGUUUCUAUAGUGUUCAAGACAUUUACAUAUUCGUUUGAAAUGACAUAAGUAAUAAACUGAAAAUUGCAUUAU
rnacentral:misc_RNA from 1 species